AGCCCACUUCCGACUGCGGGAAUCAGAACUCACUGGUUCAGUCUGUACUGAUCCUGGGACUACAGCGUACCCGCACUAGAAGACCGCAUGUGUGAAAUCCUGAACCAGCGUCCAAAGCCUGUGGGAGAUGAGGUGGCUCGCAGAACCUUCCAGAAAUGCCAUGUUUCCAGGCUGCUGACUUCUUCAUAUCCAGAAACAAACAUAAAGAUAAACCAGGAAAAUUAUCACCAAGCCACUGCUCAUUGAGUCCUUAGCCGCCUCCAUUCUCCACUAUCUUGACUUCAGCUCUUAAACCCCGGUGGCAAUGAAGUGACCGCUAGAGCUUGUUAUCAUGUAUACAAGACCUGCAAUACAACACCGGAGGACACACAUCGUGGUUGCCUGCCGACAGACGGCUCACAAUCUCACGCAGUGUAAUCCAGUGAAGCACUGUCUUUAACAUGGAAUUCAUUAUUAACUCUCUUUCAAGAAAGACAUUUGAGGAGUGCAUAAGGCAUUAGUGUGUAUUUGUGAACAGGAAGCUUUUAUACCAAUAAAGAGGAUGUAUCUAUU
rnacentral:lncRNA from 1 species